GACAGCCUGUUGGAAUCAGCAUGGAAGGCACAGCUUGUCCACCAUUCAGAGGUUUCAAUUGCAAGCGGGUUGGUGGACAGCUUCUAUGCUGACAACAUGCUAGUUUUCAUUGACAUGGGCCUCGUUGUGCAAGCUGCCGAAACUUCACAGACCCCAUCCCAGGCUAUUAAAAAGAUCAUACUUGGCCACUUCACAGAAGAUGCUAUCAUGAACACCACAGUUGUUGGCUGCGAUGGAUUGAUGUCACUCUUCCCCGCGCUAGUGCAGACUUUAAUAAGUACUCUGCAGCAAGAAGACCUUUGCCUGAGAUUUGGUCCGGAAAAAUGCAGCAGACAUGCAAUGAUAACUGCCAUCAGAUCAUUGAAGAGCAAUCUCCGCCGCAAACUGAUAGGCAAAUCAGGAAAAAACAAACGCAGGAAGUAAACAGCUCUGAUAAGAAUGGCACUGGUCACAUAUUUUAUUUAAUAAUGUUUCCAAACUGGGGUUU